GACGAACGCUGGCGGCGUGCCUAACACAUGCAAGUAGAACGCACAGUUUAUACCGUAGCUUGCUACACCAUAGACUGUGAGUUGCGAACGGGUGAGUAACGCGUAGGUAACCUGCCUGGUAGCGGGGGAUAACUAUUGGAAACGAUAGCUAAUACCGCAUAAUAUUAAUUAUUGCAUGAUAAUUAAUUGAAAGGUGCAAUUGCACCACUACCAGAUGGACCUGCGUUGUAUUAGCUAGUAGGUGAGGUAACGGCUCACCUAGGCGACGAUACAUAGCCGACCUGAGAGGGUGAUCGGCCACACUGGGACUGAGACACGGCCCAGACUCCUACGGGAGGCAGCAGUAGGGAAUCUUCGGCAAUGGACGAAAGUCUGACCGAGCAACGCCGCGUGAGUGAAGAAGGUUGUCGGAUCGUAAAGCUCUGUUGUAAGAGAAGAACGGGUGUGAGAGUGGAAAGUUCACACUGUGACGGUAUCUUACCAGAAAGGGACGGCUAACUACGUG
rnacentral:rRNA from 1 species